rnacentral:other from 1 species
CGGGUUCUGCCCUGCGCGUGAAUGGCAACAUUCCAGAGGCCUUAAAUUUUCCUUUGGGAGCUGGCUCUGUCCGGAUCGUGGUCCGUUUAUCUGGCACCCACCUGUACAUACAGGUUCCCGGGAAUUAACUCCACACGGCUGAUAGGUGGUCCCGUC